rnacentral:rRNA from 1 species
CUGCCCACUGAAUUUUUUUAAAUGGCCGCAGUAUCCUAACUGUGCAAAGGUAGCAUAAUCAUUAGUCUUUUAAUUGAAGGCUGGAAUGAAUGGUUGGAUGAAAUAUUAACUGUUUCAUAAAAAUUUAUAAUAGAAUUUUAUUUUUUAGUCAAAAAGCUAAAAUUUAAUUAAAAGACGAGAAGACCCUAUAAAUCUUUAUAUUUAUAAAAUUACAAUUAUAUAGAUAAUUUAAAUUUUAAUUUUUUAUAAUAUUUUAUUGGGGUGAUAUUAAAAUUUAAUAAACUUUUAAUUUAUAAUUUACAUAAAUUAAUGAAUUUUUGAUCCAUUUAUUAUGAUUAAAAAAUUAAGUUACUUUAGGGAUAACAGCGUAAUUUUUUUAGAGAGUUCAUAUUGAUAAAAAAGAUUGCGACCUCGAUGUUGGAUUAAGAUACAGUUUUAGGUGCAGCAGCUUAAACUUAAAGUCUGUUCGACUUUUAAAUUCUUACAUGAU